AUUGAACGCUGGCGGCAGGCCUAACACAUGCAAGUCGAGCGGAUGAAGGGAGCUUGCUCCUGGAUUCAGCGGCGGACGGGUGAGUAAUGCCUAGGAAUCUGCCUGGUAGUGGGGGAUAACGUCCGGAAACGGGCGCUAAUACCGCAUACGUCCUGCGGGAGAAAGUGGGGGAUCUUCGGACCUCACGCUAUCAGAUGAGCCUAGGUCGGAUUAGCUAGUUGGUGGGGUAAAGGCCUACCAAGGCGACGAUCCGUAACUGGUCUGAGAGGAUGGUCAGUCACACUGGAACUGGGACACGGUCCAGGCUCCUACGGGAGGCAGCAGUGGGGAAUAUUGGACAAUGGGCGAAAGCCUGAUCCAGCCAUGCCGCGUGUGUGAAGAAGGUCUUCGGAUUGUAAAGCACUUUAAGUUGGGAGGAAGGGCAGUAAGUUAAUACCUUGCUGUUUUGACGUUACCAACAGAAUAAGCACCGGCUAACUUCGUG
rnacentral:rRNA from 1 species